AGUCUCACCAGUGCACCUAGGUCACCUGAAAAUGAAAGGGAGUCCAGGCUGCCUCUCUGCCCCUUUCUAUGCUCCACAGCUCUCCCUUUGCUGGGCUUGGGGCCAGUGACUGGGCUGAAACUCUCCCAUACUUCCAGUACAGCCAGGAGACUGCAGUUUGCCAUUGCCAACACUCAGAUCAGCUGAGCAACUUUGUUUCCCCUGCAUAGUCUCCUGACACUACUGCUCAUCACCAUCCAGAUUGAGGAUGGCCUGGCCAGGGCAGGAUGCAGCCUCCACUCCAGCAGCACUAAAAGAAGCUGCUCAAGAUAAAUGAUUUCAUGCGGAGGGAUGUUUCUGAUUACAGGUUAAGAACCUUCCACCAUCACACUGACAGAUGAAAUGUGUGAGCACAGCUCAUCUCACCUGGUGCUGAAUGAGGCAAGGCACACUUCUUGCAUCCCCACAUCCAUCCAGCAUUCAGGUUUCAUCCAUCUGCCAUAUGAGCGAAGGGCAUUUGACUGAAGACUUUGUUUCAGCAGGCUGAGCAAACAGGAAGGAAGGAAGGAAGCUAUUUCCAGCAAGGUAUAGUUCAGAGCAGCUGGAUCCA